rnacentral:rRNA from 1 species
GAUGAACGCUGGCGGCGUGCUUAACACAUGCAAGUCGAACGGAAAGGCUCCUGCUUGCAGGGGUACUCGAGUGGCGAACGGGUGAGUAACACGUGGGUGAUCUGCCCUGCACUUCGGGAUAAGCCUGGGAAACUGGGUCUAAUACCGGAUAGGACGAUGGUUUGGAGUCCAUUGUGGAAAGUUUUUCGGUGUGGGAUGAGCUCGCGGCCUAUCAGCUUGUUGGUGGGGUAAUGGCCUACCAAGGCGUCGACGGGUAGCCGGCCUGAGAGGGUGUACGGCCACAUUGGGCCUGCGAUACGGACCAGACUCCUACGGGAGGCAGCAGUGGGGAAUAUUGCACAAUGGGCGCAAGCCUGAUGCAGCGACGCCGCGUGGGGGAUGACGGCCUUCGGGUUGUAAACUCCUUUCGCUAGGGACGAAGCGCAAGUGACGGUACCUGGAGAAGAAGCACCGGCUAACUACGUG